rnacentral:rRNA from 1 species
UUUACGACUCUCAGCAACGGAUAUCUUGGCUCUCGCAUCGAUGAAGAACGCAGCGAAAUGCGAUACUUGGUGUGAAUUGCAGAAUCCCGUGAACCAUCGAGUCUUUGAACGCAAGUUGCGCCCGAGGCUAUCCGGCCGAGGGCACGCCUGCCUG